rnacentral:rRNA from 1 species
AGGGUUUGAUUCUGGCUCAGAUUGAACGCUGGCGGCAGGCCUAACACAUGCAAGUCGAGCGGUAGAGAGGUGCUUGCACCUCUUGAGAGCGGCGGACGGGUGAGUAAUGCCUAGGAAUCUGCCUGGUAGUGGGGGAUAACGCUCGGAAACGGACGCUAAUACCGCAUACGUCCUACGGGAGAAAGCAGGGGACCUUCGGGCCUUGCGCUAUCAGAUGAGCCUAGGUCGGAUUAGCUAGUUGGUGGGGUAAUGGCUCACCAAGGCGACGAUCCGUAACUGGUCUGAGAGGAUGAUCAGUCACACUGGAACUGAGACACGGUCCAGACUCCUACGGGAGGCAGCAGUGGGAAUAUUGGACAAUGGGCGAAAGCCUGAUCCAGCCAUGCCGCGUGUGUGAAGAAGGUCUUCGGAUUGUAAAGCACUUUAAGUUGGGAGGAAGGGCAUUAACCUAAUACGUUAGUGUUUUGACGUUACCGACAGAAUAAGCACCGGCUAACUCUGUGCCAGCAGCCGCGGUAAUACAGAGGGUGCAAGCGUUAAUCGGAAUUACUGGGCGUAAAGCGCGCGUAGGUGGUUCGUUAAGUUGGAUGUGAAAUCCCCGGGCUCAACCUGGGAACUGCAUUCAAAACUGUCGAGCUAGAGUAUGGUAGAGGGUGGUGGAAUUUCCUGUGUAGCGGUGAAAUGCGUAGAUAUAGGAAGGAACACCAGUGGCGAAGGCGACCACCUGGACUGAUACUGACACUGAGGUGCGAAAGCGUGGGGAGCAAACAGGAUUAGAUACCCUGGUAGUCCACGCCGUAAACGAUGUCAACUAGCCGUUGGGAGCCUUGAGCUCUUAGUGGCGCAGCUAACGCAUUAAGUUGACCGCCUGGGGGAGUACGGCCGCAAGGUUAAAACUCAAAUGAAUUGACGGGGGCCCGCACAAGCGGUGGAGCAUGUGGUUUAAUU